UACAGAGGAUGCAAGCGUUAUCCGGAAUGAUUGGGCGUAAAGCGUCUGUAGGUGGCUUUUUAAGUCUGCCGUCAAAUCCCAGGGCUUAACCCUGGACAGGCGGUGGAAACUACCAAGCUGGAGUACGGUAGGGGCAGAGGGAAUUUCCGGUGGAGCGGUGAAAUGCGUAGAUCUUGGAAAGACCACCAAUGGCGAAGGCACUCUACUGGGCCAUUACUGACACUAAGAGACGAAAGCUAGGGGAGCAAAUGGG
rnacentral:rRNA from 1 species